GUAUUUUGUAAAGUUGUUCUAGUUUUGUAACUAAAAUGGUUUGGCAGUGAGCGAUUCUUAUUAGGGGAAUAUGCAUAGUGAAGGAUGGUCCACCUAUUAGUUUACUCUUUUUAUGUUGGUGUAUGUCUGGUUUGAUAUUAUUGUUGAAUAAUUUAAGUUUGUGUAGUUUUAGUUAAGCUAAGUCUAUGUGCUGCUUAUUGGAGUUUUUGUGUGUUACAUUAAUAAGGGUGUUAUUGUAAGAUGAUGUGAUUUAGGAC
rnacentral:rRNA from 1 species